AUUACUGGUGGCACUGCGGAUGGAACCACUCUGCUAACUUGGGGACCAGCAGGCCUGGUACUGGGACAGGUUUCCUAUGGAAGCUGGUAGGACAGGCAGUCUGUGGGGAAGACCGGGGGCUUUGGACUCAGAUGAACCUCAGGAGGAAAGUAAGGCUCAGAGAGAUUGAAGGACUUUCCCAUGGCACACAGACAAUAAUAGAAGAGCUGGGUUUUGAACCUUGUCCUACAUGGGCUCUCACUACCCUCUUCUCAUCUGCUGCGCUUUGGUUCCUGUGCCUGCAAGGAAUUAGGUGACGAUCUGACCUCAGCUCCAGUUUCCGAGGAGUGGAGAGGGAAGUGCAGCGGAGAGAAGCUCACGGCUUUCUUAUUCCUACUCAAGCGUGGUUAUGGACAGCUUCCAUGCAAACGCAGUGUAUUGCGCGUCGCAUCCUCACUGUUUGUGUUGGGUUUCUGAGCUUUUCCUUUGAGUUGAUUUGUCCUCUUACAUUGGCCCUAGAGCACAACCUACCCUGCAAUAAAAAGAAA